CAGCCGCCGCGGUAAUACGGAGGGGGCUAGCGUUGUUCGGAAUUACUGGGCGUAAAGCGCACGUAGGCGGCUUGGUAAGUUAGAGGUGAAAGCCUGGAGCUCAACCUGGGAAUGGCAAUGGAUACUGGCAAGCUAGAGUGUGUCAGAGGAUGGUGGAAUUCCCGGUGUAGCGGUGAAAUGCGUAGAGAUCGGGAGGAACAUCAGUGGCGAAGGCGGCCAUCUGGGACAACACUGACGCUGAGGUGCGAAAGCGUGGGGAGCAAACAGGAUUAGAUACCCCCGUAGUCCCUGUCUCUUAUAC
rnacentral:rRNA from 1 species